rnacentral:rRNA from 1 species
GAUGAACGCUGGCGGCGUGCUUAACACAUGCAAGUCGAACGAACCUUUUCGGAGGUGAGUGGCGGACGGGUGAGUAACGCGUGAGGAUCUGCCUAUAGGACGGGGACAACAGUGGGAAACUGCUGCUAAAACCCGAUGUGCCGAGAGGUGAAAUAUUUAUAGCCUGUAGAUGAGCUCGCGUCUGAUUAGCUAGUUGGUGGGGUAAGAGCUUACCAAGGCGACGAUCAGUAGCUGGCCUGAGAGGACGAUCAGCCACACUGGGACUGAGACACGGCCCAG